ACAUGCCUACAACAUAGCGUUAAUGCACCGAAUCCCAUUAGAACUCUGUAGUUAAGCACGCUUAGGCUAGAGUAGUACUGGGAUGGGUGUCUGCCUAGGAAGUCCCAGUGUUUUACAUGCC
rnacentral:rRNA from 1 species